rnacentral:RNase_P_RNA from 1 species
GGUGGGGGACGGGUCGCUCGCGGGGCUGGACGCCACCGCGGGAGGAAAGUCCGGACUCCACAGGGCAGGGCGUCCCGGUUCUCGCCGGGAGCGAUGGGCGCAAUGCCCGUCGACGGAAAGUGCCACAGAAAUCAAACCGCCUCGGGACCGGUUCUCCGGUCCUGCGGCAAGGGUGAAACGGCGGUGUAAGAGACCACCGGGCGGCCCAGUAAUGGGCGCCGCAGGAAAACCCCCCCGGAGCAAGAUCGAAUAUGGGACGAGUGGGGCGGCCCGCCUUCAUGUCCCGGGUUGAUCGCUGAAUGCCCGCGAGGGCCAGACAAAUGAUUCGCCCCGCGCGGAUUCGCCUGAACCCGACGCGGGACAAAAUCCGGCUUACAGUCUCUUUCCCCAA